rnacentral:rRNA from 1 species
CCCGUAGGGUGCAAGCGUUGUCCGGAAUCAUUGGGCGUAAAGAGCUCGUAGGCGGCUUAGUAAGUCGGGUGUGAAAACCCCAGGCUCAACCUGGGGACGCCACCCGAUACUGCUAUAGCUAGAGUCCAGUAGGGGAGUGUGGAAUUCCCAGUGUAGCGGUGAAAUGCGCAGAUAUUGGGAGGAACACCAGCGGCGAAGGCGGCACUCUGGGCUGGUACUGACGCUGAGGAGCGAAAGCGUGGGUAGCGAACAGG